rnacentral:lncRNA from 1 species
AUGCAUGGAGGGUUCCACCCCAAAUCCAGCACCCUGAGACUGUACGCUAGCCGCAAGGAAGGAGGCCGAGGACUAGUGAGCGUGAGAGCCACUAUCCGGGAUGAAACAUCCAAGAUCCAUAAGUACAUCAAGGAUAAGGCCCCGACAGAUGACGUGCUGAGUGAAUGUCUCAGGCAGUGGAGAACAGAGGAUGAGAUGCUGGAAGAGGGACCAUCAUGGGAGGACAAGCCCUUACACGGGAUGUACCACCGGAACAUAACUGAAGUGGCUGAUCUCAACAAAUCCUACCAAUUGCUUGAAAGGGCUGGGCUGAAGGACAGCACAGAGGCACUCAUCCUGGCCGCACAGGAGCAGGCCCUGAGCACCAGAGCCAUAGAGGCCCAGAUCUACCACACCAGACAAGACCCAAGGUGUAGACUGUGCAAAGAGGCCCCUGAGACGGUCCAGCACAUAACUGCAGGGUGUAAGAUGCUGGCAGGGAAAGCAUACAUGGAACGCCAUAACCAAGUGGCUGGCAUAGUAUACAGGAACAUCUGCGCAGAGUAUGGACUGGAAACCCCAAGGUCAAAGUGGGAAACACCUCCCAAGGUGGUAGAGAACGAGCGAGCCAGGAUCCCGUGGGACUUCCAGAUACAGACAGACAGAAUGGUAAUGGCGAACCAACCAGACAUUGUGGUGGUGGACAAAGAACAGAGGAAAGCAGUAGUGGUGGAUGUAGCAAUACCAAGUGAUGGCAACAUCAGGAAAAAGGAACAUGAGAAACUAGAGAAAUACCAAGGGCUCAGAGAAGAACUGGAGAAGGCUUGGAAGGUGAAGGCCACAGUGGUGCCUGUUGAUUGGAGCACUGGGGGCAGUGACCCCCAAAUUGGAGGAAUGGCUACAACAGAUCCCUGGAAUAACAUCCGACAUCUCAGUCCAGAAAAGUGCAGUCCUAGGAACAGCAAGGAUACUGCGCAGAACCCUCAAGCUUCCUGGCCUCUGGUAGAGGACCCGAGCUUGGAAAGUGGAUGA